rnacentral:rRNA from 1 species
CGGCCGCGUCGACCGCGAUAAGUCGACCGCCUGGGGAGUACGGCCGCAAGGUUAAACUCAAAUGAAUUGACGGGGCCCGCACAAGCGGUGGAGCAUGUGGUUUAAUUCGAUGCAACGCGAAGAACCUUACCUACUCUUGACAUCUACAGAAGCCGGAAGAGAUUCUGGUGUGCCUUCGGGAACUGUAAGACAGGUGCUGCAUGGCUGUCGUCAGCUCGUGUUGUGAAAUGUUGGGUUAAGUCCCGUAACGAGCGCAACCCUUGUCCUUAUUUGCCGUCAUUUAGUUGGGCACUCUAGGGAGAC